GUCAUGUUGAGAGCAGCCUGCAUAUCUCCCCUAGUCUCAUCUAGGUCCUCCGCAAGCUCCCCCACUCGGUUCUCCAACCCAUCAACCCUUGACUCCUCACCAGCCACGUGAAGUUCUAACUUGGACAGCCUAGUCUCAAAGUCACCUACCUCUUCCCUCACCCGAGAUGGUUCUCUUGACUUGGCCUGCCCUUUUCUCCUUCCCCUCGUCACUGUAGGUUCCUCUGCCACAGAGGUGCCGCCAGCCUGUUCUUGGUCACUAGUGUCAGCCAUUCCCACCGAGCAACUCUCAAUGCUCUGAUACCACUUGUCACGGCACUUUUGUUUCCACUCCAACUACAAGG
rnacentral:misc_RNA from 1 species